ACGAACGCUGGCGGCGUGCUUUAGGUAUGCAAGUCAAACGGGUCUUGUGCGCAAGCGCAAGAUCAGUGGCUUACGGCUGAAUAACGCGUGGAAACGUACCCACAGGUGGUGAAUAACUGUCCGAAAGGACAGCUAAUAUGCCGUAGUCUGAACGAAAGUAAUUUUCGUUCAGUAUAGGAAAUAGCAAUAUUUCCGCCUGAGGAGCGGUCUGCGUCCCAUCAGCUUGUUGGCGGGGUAAAAGCCCACCAAGGCAAUGACGGGUAGGGGGCGUGAGAGCGCGUACCCCCAGAGGGGCACUGAAACACGGGCCUCACUCCUACGGGAGGCAGCAAUCUGGAAUAGUCGGCAAUGGGCGAAAGCCUGACCGCGCGACGCCGCGUGGAGGACGAAGCUUUUCGGAGCGUAAACUCACAUUAAAAAGGGGCGGCCAACUUCGU
rnacentral:rRNA from 1 species